AUUGAACGCUGGCGGCAGGCCUAACACAUGCAAGUCGAACGAGUGGCGGACGGGUGAGUAAUGUCUGGGAAACUGCCCGAUGGAGGGGGAUAACUACUGGAAACGGUAGCUAAUACCGCAUACCCUCGGAUGUGCCCAGAUGGGAUUAGCUAGGAGGUGGGGUAAAGGCUCCCCUAGGCGACGAUCCCUAGCUGGUCUGAGAGGAUGACCAGCCACACUGGAACUGAGACACGGUCCAGACUCCUACGGGAGGCAGCAGUGGGGAAUAGUGCACAAUGGGCGCAAGCCUGAUGCAGCCAUGCCGCGUGUAUGAAGAAGGCCUUCGGGUUGUAAAGUACUUUCAGCGAGGAGGCGUUACCCGCAGAAGAAGCACCGGCUAACUCCGUGCCAGCAGCCGCGGUAAUUC
rnacentral:rRNA from 1 species